rnacentral:rRNA from 1 species
UACGUAGGGGGCGAGCGUUGUCCGGAUUUACUGGGCGUAAAGGGUGAGUAGGCGGCAAUGUGUGUCAGAUGUUAAAGGCAAGAGCUCAACUCUUGUAAGCAUUUGAAACUGCAUAGCUUGAGUGCAGGAGAGGUAAGUGGAAUUCCUAGUGUAGCGGUGAAAUGCGUAGAUAUUAGGAGGAACACCAGUGGCGAAGGCGACUUACUGGACUGUAACUGACGCUGAGACACGAAAGCAUGGGGAGCAAACAGG